GAAAUGCGUUAAGUAGUGUGAAUUGCAGAAUUCAGUGAAUCAUCGAAUCUUUGAACGCACAUUGCGCCCUUUGGUAUUCCUUAGGGCAUGCCUGUUCGAGCGUCAUCUAAACCUUCAAGCCCUGCUUGGUGUUGGGUGCCUGUCCCGCCUCCGCGCGCGGACUCACCUCAAAUCCAUUGGCGGCCCCCGCGUCGGCCACGAGCGCAGCAGAAACGCGAACUCGUGAGCCCGUCCGGGCGGCUCCCAGAAGCUACACCCACCCAGUUUGACCUCGGAUCAGGUAGGGAUACCCGCUGAACUUAAGC
rnacentral:misc_RNA from 1 species